rnacentral:rRNA from 1 species
CAGGCCUAACACAUGCAAGUCGAGCGGAAACGAGUUAUCUGAACCUUCGGGGAACGAUAACGGCGUCGAGCGGCGGACGGGUGAGUAAUGCCUAGGAAAUUGCCCUGAUGUGGGGGAUAACCAUUGGAAACGAUGGCUAAUACCGCAUAAUGCCUACGGGCCAAAGAGGGGGACCUUAGGGCCUCUCGCGUCAGGAUAUGCCUAGGUGGGAUUAGCUAGUUGGUGAGGUAAUGGCUCACCAAGGCGACGAUCCCUAGCUGGUCUGAGAGGAUGAUCAGCCACACUGGAACUGAGGCACGGUCCAGACUCCUACGGGAGGCAGCAGUGGGGAAUAUUGCACAAUGGGCGCAAGCCUGAUGCAGCCAUGCCGCGUGUGUGAAGAAGGCCUUCGGGUUGUAAAGCACUUUCAGUCGUGAGGAAGGUAGUGUAGUUAAUAGCUGCAUUAUUUGACGUUAGCGACAGAAGAAGCACCGGCUAACUCCGUGCCAGCAGCCGCGGUAAUACGGAGGGUGCGAGCGUUAAUCGGAAUUACUGGGCGUAAAGCGCAUGCAGGUGGUUUGUUAAGUCAGAUGUGAAAGCCCGGGGCUCAACCUCGGAAUUGCAUUUGAAACUGGCAGACUAGAGUACUGUAGAGGGGGGUAGAAUUUCA